CGUAGGUAUCUUGUUAAACUGCAGAUUCUAAUUCAGUGGAUCUGGAGUGGGGCCUCAGAUUUUGCAUUUCUGACAAGCUCCCAGGUCAUGCUGAUGUUGCUAGUCCA
ensembl:miRNA